AUGGGCCGUACGAUGUCCGUCGUGCGGUCUGCGGCUACUGUGAUUUCCGCCGCUCGGCUGAAGCCGUCUCGCCCCCCACGCAGCUGCCUACCUGGCUUCUUCGCCGACGUGUCCCAGCGCCGUGCCAUGCCUUUCCGCUGCUAUGCCGCCGCCGCUGCGUCCCUCUUUGCGGCGUCCGCUCGCUUCCCCGCCGACGCGUGCGCCGCCUUCCGAAUGCCGCGUGGCCCACCGUCCCGAGCCUCCUCGCUUCCCCCCGCGUCACGGCGCCGCCGCGGCCCUGCCAGUCACACCGCCGCAGCCCAGCCCUCCAUCCGCGCCCCCGCCGGCCCUCCAUCCCGCCCCACCUCUGCCGCCUAGCGCCGCCGCCGGCCGUUCCGGUCUUCCACGCAUUAGCAACCCAGCCAGCCGCACCACCGCGGGACGGCCCUCCAUCCGAGCCGCCGCUGUCCAGUGAUCCGGUCCCAUCAUCCCCGCCGCUGCCGCUGCGUGCUGCGGAUAGGAGGCCCUCGCCCCAUCCGCUCCGUCACAUCUCGCUCCCUUCUCCUCGUGACUUCGCCGUCACCACAUUUGAUGGAUCCAUUCAUAGAUCCCUGGGUCCCAGGUCCCUGAAAAUGAGGCAUUACCAUCUCCCUAGUAUUGGGAAAUUUGGUUGAUGUACGGUUCAAUUUUUUUAGUCUGUAGUCCGUUUUGAUGUAGAGUGGUUCGAUUCGGUGAUUGCAAGUGCUUAAUUUGAUGAUAAGAAAGCUGAUUCAGCUGCAACAGUUGCUGCCCCUGAAGAGCAAUCUACAAGCACCCUUGGCCUUCCUGUUGUAGCAUCUGGCUGCGCACGAUGCUGAGUUGCUGAAGACACCAUUGAGGACCUUCCUGAAAUCAGAAUACAUUGAGUUUCUGCUUUCAGCUUACCUACUAUCGCAGGGCGAUCAAUCGUCAGUGGUGCAUGGUUCUACAGAAUCACUACUGAAUCACUGAAGACUCAAGAAGUACCUUUGUCAUCCUCCUCUAUGUUGCUCGCUCAAAUGCUAUCUAAAUGUAUGUUCUGAUAGUUCUGUAUAAAACAGGAACCACUACGCGCGCAUGGGCGCACGCCAAUCACUAGUAAAACUAGAAAACCUCGCGGCUUUGCAGCCGCGAGUGGCCAGUGGAUGUACCUGUGGUAGGGUUUUUUUUUCAUGUGUGAUUGUAUAAAUAUUUUUAUAAACAAAUUGUAGAAACACUUUGAGUUUUGAGCAACUUUUUUAUCAAUCACUUUUUUUAUUUGAAGA